rnacentral:rRNA from 1 species
UGAGUACGAGAUGCUACGGCGUCGAAGCAGUCUAGUCAUACUUCCAAGAAAAGCUUGCACUGUCAUAAACAAAGAAUGCCUGUACCAUAACCGACACAGGUGGGUAGGUAGAGUAUACUAAGGGGCGCGAGAUAACCCUCUCUAAGGAACUCGGCAAAAUGACUCCGUAACUUCGGGAGAAGGAGUGCCUUAUUUUUAAGGUUGCAAUAACAAGAUCCAAGCAACUGUUUACCAAAAACACAGGUCUCCGCUAAGUCGUAAGACGAUGUAUGGGGGCUGACGCCUGCCCAGUGCCAGAAGGUUAAAGAAGUUGGUUAGCAUUUGCGAAGCUGAUAACUGAAGCCCUGGUGAACGGCGGCCGUAACAAUAACGGUCCUAAGGUAGCGGAAUUCCUUGUCGGGUAAGUUCCGACCCGCACGAAAGGCGUAAUGAUUUGGAUACUGUCUCGGAGAGGGGCUCGGUGAAAUAGACUUGUCUGUGAAGAUGCGGACUACCUGCACCUGGACAGAAAGACCCUAUGAAGCUUUACUGUAACUUGAGAUUGAAAUUGGACUUUAUUUGCGCAGUAUAGGUGGGAGGCGUUGAGAAUAAUCUUGCGGGAUUAUCGGAGCCAUCAGUGAGAUACCACUCUUGUAAUGUUAGAUUUCUAACUUUGUAUCAUUAUCUGGUCAAAGAACAGUUUCAGGCGGGCAGUUUGACUGGGGCGGUCGCCUCCCAAAGGGUAACGGAGGCGCACAAAGGUUUCCUCUGAACGGGUAGAAAUCGUAUCUAGAGUGUAAAGGCAUAAGGAAGCUUGACUGUGAGACCCACAAGUCGAGCAGGGACGAAAGUCGGUCUUAGUGAUCUGACGGUGCUGAGUGGAAAGGCCGUCACUCAACGGAUAAAAGUUACUCUAAGGAUAACAGGCUGAUCUCCCCCAAGAGUUCACAUCGACGGGGAGGUUUGGCACCUCGAUGUCGGCUCAUCGCCUCCUGGGGCGGUAGUACGUCCCAAGGGUUGGGCUGUUCGCCCAUGAAAGCGGUACCGAGCUGGGUUCAGAACGUCGUGAGACAGUUCGGUCCAUAUCCGGUGUAGGCGUUAGAAUAUUGAAAGGAGCCUUCUCUAGUACGAGAGGACCGAGAAGGACAUACCUCUGGUGUGCCAGUUAUCGUGCCAACGGUAAACGCUGGGUAGCUAUGUAUGGAGUGGAUAACCGCUGAAAGCAUCUAAGUGGGAAGCCCACCUUAAGAUAAGUAUUCUCAGC